ensembl:misc_RNA Metazoa_SRP Metazoan signal recognition particle RNA
GCCGGGCUUGUUGGUGCGUGCCUGUAGUCCCAGCUUCUCCGGAGGCUGAGGUGGGAGGAUCACUUGAGCCCAGAAGCUCUGGGCUGUAGUGCACUAUGCUGAUUGGGUGUCGGCACUAAGUUCGGCAUCAAUAUAGUAACCUCCCGGGAGAGGGGACCACCGGGUUGCCUAAGUAGGGGUUAACUGGCCCAGGGUGGAAAUGGAGCAGGUCAAAACUUUCGUGCUGAUCAGUAAUGGGGUCGCACCUAUGAAUCGCCAUUGCACUCCAGCAUGGGCAAUAUAGUGAGUCUCUGUCUCA